rnacentral:rRNA from 1 species
AUUGAACGCUGGCGGCAUGCCUUACACAUGCAAGUCGAACGGCAGCACGGGUGCUUGCACCUGGUGGCGAGUGGCGAACGGGUGAGUAAUACAUCGGAACAUGUCCUGUAGUGGGGGGUAGCCCGGCGAAAGCCGGAUUAAUACCGCAUACGAUCUACGGAUGAAAGCGGGGGACCUUCGGGCCUCGCGCUAUAGGGUUGGCCGAUGGCUGAUUAGCUAGUUGGUGGGGUAAAGGCCUACCAAGGCGACGAUCAGUAGCUGGUCUGAGAGGGCGACCAGCCACACUGGGACUGAGACACGGCCCAGACUCCUACGGGAGGCAGCAGUGGGGAAUUUUGGACAAUGGGCGAAAGCCUGAUCCAGCAAUGCCGCGUGUGUGAAGAAGGCCUUCGGGUUGUAAAGCACUUUUGUCCGGAAAGAAAUCCUUGGCCCUAAUACGGUCGGGGGAUGACGGUACCGGAAGAAUAAGCACCGGCUAACUACGUG